CCUACGGGGCGCAGCAGUGAGGAAUAUUGGUCAAUGGGCGCGAGCCUGAACCAGCCAAGUCGCGUGAGGGAAGACGGUCCUAUGGAUUGUAAACCUCUUUUGUCGGGGAGCAGAAGACGCCACGCGUGGCGUUCCGAGAGUACCCGAAGAAAAAGCAUCGGCUAACUCCGUGCCAGCAGCCGCGGUAAUACGGAGGAUGCGAGCGUUAUCCGGAUUUAUUGGGUUUAAAGGGUGCGCAGGCGGAUUUUUAAGUCAGCGGUCAAAUCGUGGGGCUCAACCCCAUCCACCCGUUGAAACUGGGGAUC
rnacentral:rRNA from 1 species